UAAUUUAUAUGCGAUAGAAAUAUUAUUUCUAUUAUUUACUAGAAGUCGAGAAAUUAUUCCGACUGCAACGCAGAUUAAAUAUACGGAUUUAAUCUAGAUAUUAAAUGGCUUGUGAAGUGAAUUAAAUCUACUUAUUUAAUUUAUACAUGAAUAAUGAGCAUAAGCCAAUAUUUGAUUGCAAACACGCGAUUAAAUAGUAGAUGCACUGAGUAACCAAGACACAAAGAUUUAUUAUUAUUUACAAUUAGAACUUCAACCACCACUAUCAAUCAAUGCAGUAAUUGAUUUUUUUUCUGAGUACAAGAAGAAAUCUUUGCAUAUAAGCUCACCACUGGCAGCAAGAGUGACGCAGUACAUUUGGGUAAAAAAAUAAAACUCUCGAAUUUGCUGGCUUUAGGAGGAAGAUCAUGCUUAAGACAAUCAUCUUCCACUAUCUAAUUAUUUAUCAACCACUACCUCCACUUAACAAAAAUGAGACCUACGCACUAGCCUGCACCACCACCCUUUUUCUCCACCAAACUUUCCACUUACUUCAUUCCUUCUCUCAUACACCAAGCACCAGAAAGGGAGAUGAAGUUCCUGCUGCCAACUGCCAAGUAUCGAGAGUUUCUUCUCCAUUGAAUUCAUUAUCAACAACAGCAGCUACCAACACAAAAUACUCAAGGUCAAGCGCGAGAGUAAGAACUACUCAAGGAGUCACAGUACUUAGCAAAACUUUGCUAUCAGGUUGAGUUGUGAUGGGCGAUGAAGUGUUGCUGAGUGGAGUUUUUGUCGAACUUAAAGUAGGCUCAGAAAGGAUACAUGUCUUCAUACAUGUAUCUCAGUUAUGCAUUCCGCUGUAAACACUGAUUAUUUCAGUUACACCUUCCGUUGCAAACUCUGAUAAUGUUUUAGCCAAGCCCCUAAAAAUGCCUUUUUCCUUUUAAGGAAUAUAACGCGUAUACAAGUUCUUUGAGUACCCUUUUUAUGCGAACUAUGCAUUUUCCCUUUUUAAGGAAUAUUUCACGCGUAUUCAA